UUUCCGACGGAGAAGUAUUAAAACUCUUGGAACUGCUCCAACCCCGACAGGACCAGGAGGAAGAAGCUGGCGAGUAAACCGAGAAUGACGAUGACGUAAGGGGAGAUGUGUUGACUUUCGUCACCGGGCCGGGUUUUGUUUGGGCUACAAAACCAAAUGCCAAACCCGCCAAAUAGACGAGCCCAACCCCAAAUUAUUUAUUUAUUUAUUUUAAAAAUUGCUCAAACAAUCCAAAUUCUUGUUCUUACCAUUUCCGGACUAGGAUUCUCUAACAAUCAGGGCUUCUUUCAAUAGUAGCAAACCGAUCUAGUUUUCUUUUUAGGUCUGGAGAUCGCGAAAAGCAAAAAGGAGGUGAAAAAGAUGGAUAAUCUUCAAGAAAUCGACGAUUACAUUAAAGAAUCGAUCGAUGAAUCCGUAGGGCUUCCAAUAUCCAAUCGCACUUUGCAGCUGAAGCUUCGCGUUUCGGAAGAAGCCCAGCGUCGGCAUCGCGGCCAGUACUUGCUUCUUCUUUCAAAAUUGAAUGAGAAAGAUCAGAUCAUUGAACGCGCUAGGGGCAAGGCAAGUCUAAAUGGUCAGGCACUGAGGAAGUUCGUAGAAGAGAACCAGAAACUGGCCGCGGAGUGUGCGAGUUUUUGACUUAGUGCAAGAAAUGGGAGAGAGAGUGCUCGCUUUACGAUCAUGACGGCGAGGCCUCGAUGGAUUUUGGAAAUGGGGCCGAUGAGGGGCAAAGAAGGCUGAGAUUAGGGCUCGCGACUUGCUGGAGGAAUUGGGAAGGAUGUCUCAGGAAUUGCUGUUCUACAAGCAUAUCAGUACGAUACUCGUGAGGAGUGAAGACACUUGCCAAAAAACGGAGUCUUCAUGGUUCUGGUGGAAGGCAUGUCAGCAGUGAAUCUGCUAAGGUCAGAAAAACAAACGACGUUAUGUGGUUAAAGGUUAUCAGAGAUUGACAAUCAUCAACUUACAUCUGGAAUAUUAAUUUCUUACAACAACACUAUGAUCUUGAGUUGAUUAGCAAGCAUGACAGUGUCUAAA